ensembl:lncRNA
CUAAAGUACUUUGUAACGCAGUAACUUGAUUAGUUUUUCCGCAAACUACUUUUUUACUCUUACUUGAGUAAUAUUAUUUUUCAGAACUUUUACUUGAACUCAAGUAAAUUAUUCCUUAAGUAGCAAUACUUUUACUUAAGUACAAUUUCUUAGUACUCUUUCCACCACUACCCUUCACUGAUAUAACUUUGGGCAGAUGAAACGUGACUUUUAUGAAAAACCCUUGACUUAUUCUCUCUUACACCUCCUUUUCCACUCCUGCAAAAAAAUGUGCACCAUCCCAGAGGCUGCUAACAGUGAGGAGGUGCAUGAUUUUCUUGCCCUGAACACAUGCUACAGCAGCUUUCCAGAAGAAGCCGUCAAGUUCACGCAUAGACAAGAUGGUGGAGAACAUAGUGGACACUCUGAAGACUGCAUUUCCACGCUCAGAACCCCAGAGCCCCACAGAUGAAGGAGACCCACAAAGAAAGGGACAAUAUAUGAGACCUGAAUGACACAAGUCAAACGUACAAAUGUAAUAGUCCUAUUGUUUUGAGUUUCCCAAACUGUCCUUUAAUAUUUCAGGCCCCGUCUGAGACUCUCCAGUAAAAUAGCUCCUACUCUUAAUGUUCCAAGCCUGCAACCUAAAGUGACAUAAUCGUUCAGUGAAUGCUGCUCAGUGAGGCCUUCAUAUCAUACAAAAUCCACAUAAAUAGUGCAACCUUCACAUAAACAGAUAUGUUUAAUAUAAUAUAAUAAUGAUGCAAUGUUUGGAAUAUGGCAUGGUUUUUACUUAUUGCAGUGUUUCUCAGUCGUCUUUGUCUUAUGUACCAUCACAACAGAUUUUAAAACACCAGGCAUCAUACACCUGCCGACUUUGUAAAUGGUUACAGAGGAAAACUGGGCAUCAUCAAACGACUGAUGGUCACACAUUAUCAGACAUUAAAGUCAUUCCGAACACAACAAAUUCAGAAACAUGCAUCUUGUUGUAACGAGAAGCAUGACAAAUUAAAAUAAUAUGAGCUGGUUUCAUAGAUAGGGCUUAGACUAAGCCAGGAUUAGGCCAUAGUUAAAUUAGGACAUUUAAGUAAUUUUUAUAAACAUGCCUUAGCAAAAAAAAAAAAAAACAUUACUGCUGUGUAUCUUGAGACAAAACAAGAGCACUGACAUAUUUUAAGAUCAAUCAAUGCAAGAUUCUUUCAGUUGAAACACCUCAGACUUACAUUUUAGUCUGGGGCUUGACUUAGGCCUUGUCUGUGAAACCAGGGGUACAUGUUCUAAAAUAAGCUUAAAAUAUUAAACAUUUCUGAUAUCCUCCCAUUGAAGCUUAAAAAAUCAGAGCCUGUGCCCAUCAUUACAUGUUUUUCUGUGAAACCUGUCAACUCUGCAUGGCCAAAAUCUGCAGACUGGCUCUGACUUUCUGCUGUAAAGCAGCUGUGGCAAGACAAUAGUGUUAUUAUUCAGCUCCAGUC